GCUCGUGUCUUCAAGGAAUC
rnacentral:miRNA from 1 species